UUAAGUCCGCACGAGCGCAACCCUUGUCUUUAGUUGCCAUCAUUAAGUUGGGCACUCUAAAGAGACUGCCGGUGUCAAACCGGAGGAAGGUGGGGAUGACGUCAAGUCCUCAUGGCCUUAUGACCAGGGCUACACACGUACUACAAUGGCAGGUACAAAGGGCAGCCACUUAGCGAUAAGGCGCGAAUCCCAUAAAACCUGUCUCAGUCCGGAUUGGAGUCUGCAACUCGACUCCAUGAAGUUGGAAUCGCUAGUAAUCGCAGAUCAGCACGCUGCGGUGAAUACGUUCCCGGGCCUU
rnacentral:rRNA from 1 species